rnacentral:rRNA from 1 species
AUUGAACGCUGGCGGCAGGUCUAACACAUGCAAGUCGAGCGGAUGACGGGAGCUUGCUCCUUGAUUCAGCGGCGGACGGGUGAGUAAUGCCUAGGAAUCUGCCUGGUAGUGGGGGACAACGUUUCGAAAGGAACGCUAAUACCGCAUACGUCCUACGGGAGAAAGCAGGGGAACUUCGGGUCUGGCGCUAUCAGAUGAGCCUAGGUCGGAUUAGCUAGUGGGUGUGGUAAUGGCUCACCAAGGCGACGAUCCGUAACUGGUCUGAGAGGAUGAUCAGUCACACUGGAACUGAGACACGGUCCAGACUCCUACGGGAGGCAGCAGUGGGGAAUAUUGGACAAUGGGCGAAAGCCUGAUCCAGCCAUGCCGCGUGUGUGAAGAAGGUCUUCGGAUUGUAAAGCACUUUAAGUUGGGAGGAAGGGCAGUAAGUUAAUACCUUGCUGUUUUGACGUUACCGACAGAAUAAGCACCGGCUAACUCUGUGCCAGCAGCCGCGGUAA